CCCUUAGAUGUUCUGGGCCGCACGCGUGCUACACUGAGUGGAUCAGCGGGUCAGGUUGCGCGAAAGUGUUUCCUAAUCUUGAAAUCCGCUCGUGAUGGGGAUUGACGGUUGCAAUUUUCCGUCAUGAACGAGGAAUACCUUGUAAGCGCGGGUCAUCAUCCCGCGCUGAAUACGUCCCUGCCCUUUGUACACCCCGCCCGUCGCUCCUACCGAUUGAGUGGUCCGGUGAGGCUUUGGGAUCUGAGCAAAGAGAGCGUUUCGCUCGUUUUGCCCGGAAAACUCAGUCGAACCUUAUCAUUUAGAGGAAGGAGAAGUCGUAACA
rnacentral:rRNA from 1 species